AUUGCAGGCUGCAACUCGCCUGCAUGAAGUCGGAAUUGCUAGUAAUCGCGGAUCAGCAUGCCGCGGUGAAUACGUUCCCGGGUCUUGUACACACCGCCCGUCACACCACGAGAGUUUACAACACCCGAAGUCGGUGGGGUAACCCGCAAGGGGGCCAGCCGCCGAAGGUGGGGUAGAUGAUUGGGGUGAAGUCGUAACAAGGUAGCCGUAUCGGAAGGUGCGGCUGGAUCACCUCCUUUCUAUGGAGA
rnacentral:rRNA from 1 species